UACGUAGGGUGCGAGCGUUUGUCCGGAAUUACUGGGCGUAAAGAGCUCGUAGGUGGUUUGUCGCGUUGUCCGUGAAAACUCACAACUCAAUUGUGGGCGUGCGGGCGAUACGGGCAGGCUGGAGUUCGGUAGGGGAGACUGGAAUUCCUGGUGUAGCGGUGAAAUGCGCAGAUAUCAGGAGGAACACCGGUGGCGAAGGCGGGUCUCUGGGCAUGUCCUGACGCUGAGGAGCGAAAGUGUGGGGAGCGAACAGG
rnacentral:rRNA from 1 species